ensembl:lncRNA
AUGGGUGGGUGUUCCGCUCCAAAUUGCUCAAACUCAACAACCAUUGGGAAGCAACUAUUUCGUUUUCCAAAAGAGCCUAUACGCAAGAAUAAAUGGCUUGUAAACUGCCGGCGUAAUUUUGUACCAACUCCACAUUCCAGACUGUGCCAGGACCAUUUUGAGCUGAGUCAGUUUGAAGAAAUAGCCAGGUCGCCAGCAGGGGGAAAGAAGCUGAAACCAAACGCUAUCCCCACUCUUUUCAGUGUGCAAAAUCCACCUUAUCCCAUCACCCCACAGAUAGUGCUACCUUUCAAACCAGAGCCAGUAGAGAGAGAUCUGAAUGUGGGGGAUCAUGGCUAUGCACGGCGGCAACCAACUCUGGGCAUGGAGGAAGAUGCUGAUGAACUACACAAGGCAGAGGAACGUCCCUGCACCCAUUGUCAACCGUACAAAACCCUGCUGGAACAAGAAAUGCAACACACUGCCAGACUUCAGAAAGAGGCUGAGGAAAUGAAGAAGAGGAUGUUCAAACUGGACAGAAUAGAGAGGGGCCUCCAGACAUUUCUGUAUGAAGACCAGAUCCGUGCCCUGACCCUGACCAAGCGUUCCAGGAGAGCUGUGUGGUCCCACGAGACAGUGCUGAAGGCUCGUAAAAUCCGAUGUGCAGUCGGUGCCAAGGGUUAUGAAUUCCUUCGGGAGUUAGGCUACCCUUUGCCCUCUUAUAGAACUUUAUGCAACCGCCUGGAGGAAAAAAUCAUGGUGACGACAGCCAUGGGCUGUGAUGAGCUUGCAGAGCUUGGUCUAGGAAUCAUAUCUACAUGUGACAGUCCAGAGGGAGAUGGGGACAAUGAGGAGGCUUUCAUUGGAGUGAUGUCAUGACUCAUGAAUGAGAGAUUUUUGAUCAAUUUGUUUGACUAUGUGUUUCAUUUUGAAGAAUGCAACGCAAAAUGACAGGACAAUAUAACAGAGACUGACGACAGCUAGUAGCCCUAUGCGGUGAAGAACAUGUGGAAGCAUAUGUACAAUGGGAGAUGUUAGUGAUAAAGUGUUCUUGCUUCUGGACUUGGUUUCACAUAAAAGGUUUCACAUUUUUUUUUUUUUAGAAUGGUUUACUCAUGCUAAAAAAUUUGGUGUUUUAUUUUGGAAAUGAAACAUAAGCUCCUUCAAAACAAUAAAGAGCAGCAGUCAUCUGCCUUAAAGCGGCAAUCGGCAGUGGAAACAAUAACAGAGCGUCCUCCCCACCCCUGGCUCAGUAAAAAGCUGAGCGAUGGGGCUAGAGAAAUUUAAUCACUCUCAAAUUCAUAGACCUAUAGAUGCAAGGAUUGACCAUCCAUGAUAUCAAAAUUAUAGUUUUAACAAUGUUUUGAGACUAUAUAGUGUUUGUUACAUUUUCUUUGUCUACAAACAUUGGAGUAAAACAAGCUUAUAUUUGGAGUUCUAAUGGGAUUUGACAGUUGAACUAAGUUCAUGAGACAUAAGUUAUAUUCUUCAAGAAUCAAUGAGUACACAUAAUUAAUUUCUAAGUCCAAAAAUGGAUGUAGCAACUGCUGAUUGCUCCUUUAAGCUUUGAAGCUGCAAUUUCAAAUCACCUUUGUGCUCAAUGUGAGGUCAUAAUUCAGAAGCUACGCUAAAUAAUUUGUUGUGCAACUUUUUCCUUCAGAAUGUUUGACAAAUGCAAAAGAAGUGCAGAAUUUUUACCCCUGUUUGCAGAGUUUUUAGUUGCUCUUCAUUGUCACUUAUGUUAAGUGGACAAAUUGGAGGAUUCGUUUGUAUUUUGUAAUGGGAAUCUGUUUAGCUGCAUUUGGAAACUGCAAUGCAGUAUGCAGCCUUUGGAGAACUGUGGUAGCUGCAUUGUAUACUGGCUGCGCCCCCUGAACUUAGGCUGAAUAACCUGAGGCUUCUUUUGUUACAAUCACUAAUGGGAUAUUAACCAGCAAGCAGAACCUCUGGGUGGGAGGAGGGUUGUAGAAAACACACUAAAGAGGCAGGAGAGUAUGCAGUACCCUGAUCAAAACAAUGGUAAUGUAAAAUAAUAAAGAAAUCUAUCUAGUAGAGCUGGGAAUUGCCAGGGACCUCAUGAUACAAUGUUAUCACAGUACUUUGGUGCCGAUUCGAUGUUUGGUAUUUUAUUAGAAUCCCCUUAGCUGUUGCAGCAGAUACUCUUCCUGGGGUCAACACAAAACAUGAAAUGUGAAAUAAUACAGAACAUUAAUAGACACAAAAAAAAUGCAUACGUAGCCUAUAUGUCAAUACAUACACACAAACCCUCUUGGUCAAACAGGGUAGAGGCGCUGCUUUAUCUGGGUUUUUCUUUUAGAUUUUCUGUUCAUUUGAGCAAUAUGCAAUAAUGGCUCUAUAUAAUACUGUACGCUUUCUUGAAUUCAUUCAAGAUUUGGACACUGAAAAGACCCCUGGUGGCAUGUCUGGUGAGGUAAGUGUGUGUCAGAACUGUCUGUAAGUUGACUUUGCAAACAAUUUGGGAUUUUUAACACAUCAAUGUUUCUUAUAAAAAGAAGUGAUGCAUUCAGUCUCCUCAACUCUUAGUCAAGUGUUCCAAACAUAUCACUCAUAUGUCUUCUGCAAAGGGACAAGAGACUUGAGAAAACAAGUUUUGAUCAGUCGUGGAAAUAAAAGUGCUGAAAACAAAUUGGCUCCCUAUUUAAAAAGAUGGAGAACAAGCUAUGAAUAAGAAAUACUAGAGUUUUGGUGCAGGUACAGUCAACCAGCGCAAAUAUAGUAUUGCAAUAUUGUCAAAAUGAUACAUCGUCAAAAAAAUAUACCAAUUAUGUAACUCGAUUUUUUUUUCAUCACUACUAUUAAGUAGGCUGCCUAUGUUUGUAGCUUUUGUUUUUUGUGAUGUUGAAGUGUUCACUUUUAUCAACAGUGUGAAACAUUGUUUUGCAAAGGAGACUAUACCUUACUCAUAGUACUAUAACUAUACUGAACAAAAAUAUAAAUGCAACAUGUAAAGUGUUGGUCCCAUGUUUCAUGAACUGAAAUUAAAGAUCCCAGAAAUUUUCCAUAUGCACAAAAAGCUUCUUCCUCUCAAAUUUUGUGCACAAAUUUGUUUAGAUCUGUGUUAUUGAGCAUUUCUCCUUUGCCCAGAUAAUCCACCCACCUGACAUGUGUGACAUCAAGAAGCUGAUUAAACAGCAUGAUCAUUACACAGGUGCUCCUUGUGCUGGGGGCAUUAAAAGGCCACUCUAAAAUGUGCAGUUUUGUCACACAACACAACGCUACAUAUCUCUCAAGUUUUGAGGGAGCAUCCAAUUGGCAUGAUGACUGCAGGAAUGUCCACCAGAGCUGCUGCCAGAGAAUUGAAUGUUCAUUUCUCUACCGUAAGCUGCCUCCAACGUCGUUUUAGAGAAUUUGGCAGUACGUCCACCCGGCCUCACAACCGCAUAUCACAUGUAACCCUCCAGCCCAGGAUGCCACAUCCGGCUUCUUCACCUGCGGGAUCGUCUGAGACCAGCCACCCGGACAGCUGAUGAAACUAAGUAGUUCUGUCUGUAAUGAAGACCUUUUGUGGGGUAAAACUCCUUCUGAUUGGUUGGUUCCGAAGUGGGUGGGCCAAUGCCCUCCCAGGCCCACCCAUGGCUGAGCCCCUGUCCAGUUAUGUGAAAUCCAUAGAUUAGGGCCUAAUGAAUUUAUUUAAAUUGAC